rnacentral:lncRNA from 1 species
UUUUCAUGGUUCAUUGGUCUUUGUUUAGUUAUCUUGGUUAAUGUUAAGUUUAUGUGACAGUUUUUAAUAAGGCUUUAUACUUAGGACUAUCAACAUAAUAUCAAUGAUUAGUAAAGAAGGCGAGACAUUUCAGCGUGUGCACUCUUGUUUGAUUUGGAGGGGGGUCUUAUGUGUGCAGUGCUCAUAGUUUUUCUAGUUGAUCAUUAAAAUUCAUUUAUAGCAUAAAGACCAACUAAAAGGGCAACAAGCUUAUCAAGCACUCAUGGUACAGAUUUUUAUUAAACACACAUUAAUAUACAUCAUGUACAUUAAACAGCAAAAAAAACAUUGAUGCAAGAUGUCAUUCAAUACUAACUUUUACUCUUUUAUGUAUAGGACAAAAACUAUAGAAGAAUUAAGAAUUAUAAACAGCAGAAAUGAUAGGCAAUUUAAAAUUUGCACAAGCCAACUAAACCUAAAUGGUAAGGCCACUUUUAUUUUUAAAAAAGUUAUUGAACUUGAAAGACAGUUAUCAUGAUUACUAUAAUAAUUAAAAGAUGUGGUAUAUUAAAUAUGAAAACUAUUGAUCAUGGCUAAAAGAAAGCAAUUGUAGGCCUGUGACGACCUUCAAUAAUGAGAAAAUCCGUACCCUAUAGUCAAAGUAGGCAGCUAUAAAAGACCCUCAGAUGAAAAAUUGAAACAAUCAAAACUGUAAAACUAAAUGCCUAGUUUAUAACAAAAUAAAUUACAAAAAAAAAAAUAUGAAAAGUAUGAAACAACAACAACCACUAAAUUUUAGUGUCAGACUAAACUGACAAAAACUGCAGGCUCUAAACUUUGGACAGGCACAAUAGGAAUAUGGCAAGGUUAUAUUAAAUAUAAGAUGUGGCAUGAUUGCCAAUAAGACAACCCUCCACCAGACAACCAAUGAUUUAAAUUUCCUGAAAACACAGACUGGACUACUGUAAACCAACUAAAUUUUCGCAAAUACUUUAUUUUGCAUUUUAUACUUUCUAGUCUACAUCACAGCUAUUUUUUUUUUUGUGGUUUUCAAUUUUACUUAAUGUAUUUUAAUAAAUGAACAAGGAAAGAUACAUAUAUGAAAAACAGUCCCGACAAUUUAUAUGCAUGUUAUAUUUUUAAAUGCGAAAAUAAAUUGCUUGUGAAAAUAAAUCGCUCACGAAAAUUAGUUGGUUUACAGUAAGCAAGAAAUUUAUACAUUUCCCUUAAUUGAAAAGACACAAAGUUAAGUACUCACAGUAACUGACAGGUUAAGUUAAAAAUUCAUAAAAACUAAUGCAUGUUAUAAAAAACAGGUUUAUGAGCACUCAACCCUACCCUUACUUUAGAACGUGGUUUAACAGCUCAACAUAUAUAUAUAAUAUAAAGAACAAACUGCCUCAACUUGAAAGAUUGAUAAAUGCACAAAAUCAACUAAUAUAAGAACUAUAGACAAAAGCAUUCACAAGUAAGAAAGGAAAUAUAUUUAAAAUGUUAAUAAACAUGACAAAAUAAACUUUUAUUGCUCUUUCUCUCUCCAUUUAUAACAUUUUAUUUUUUUAUUUUUUGUAUUUAUAGGUGAUCAGACAUCUUGGUUUUCAUGAUCAAUAGGUCAUUACUGAAGAGGAAACUUAAAGUUGAAAUGUAUCUACAUAGUGCGCAAUUGGAUUAAUUUGAACUGGAAUGUGUGCUUUCCUGCAAAAAAGAAAUAGGAAAUUUCAUCAUAAUCACAUGAUAAUGGCCAUAAACAAAAUGGAGUUCUAUCCUAGAUACACAAAAACACUAUUGUAUAAAAGCAACAACAUAUUAUAUAUAUUAGUCGAAAGAAAGGAGAAAUGCAGAAAAAAAUCUAUUUUGUUGUUAAAAAAAGGAAUACCAGUUUUAUCCAC